UACGGAGGAUGCGAGCGUUAUCCGGACUUAUUGGGUUUAAAGGGUGCGUAGGCGGGUUAUCAAGUCAGCGGUAAAAUCGUGGAGCUCAACUCCAUCCAGCCGUUGAAACUGAUGAUCUUGAGUGGGCGAGAAGUAUGCGGAAUGCGUGGUGUAGCGGUGAAAUGCAUAGAUAUCACGCAGAACUCCGAUUGCGAAGGCAGCAUACCGGCGCCCGACUGACGCUGAAGCACGAAAGCGUGGGUAUCGAGCAGG
rnacentral:rRNA from 1 species